rnacentral:rRNA from 1 species
CAAUAGCGUAUAUUAAAGUUGUUGCAGUUAAAAAGCUCGUAGUUGGAUUUCUGGUGGGAGCGAUCGGUCUGGCGCUUAGCGCGAGUACUUGCAUCGUCUCCGGCCAUCCUUGGGGAGAGUCUGUCUGGCAUUAAGUUGUCGGGCAGAGGAUCCUCAUCGUUUACUGUGAAAAAAUUAGAGUGUUCAAAGCAGGCUUAUGCCGUUGAAUAUAUUAGCAUGGAAUAAUAAGAUAGGACUUUGGUACUAUUUUGUUGGUUUGCGCACCAAAGUAAUGAUUAAUAGGGACAGUUGGGGGUAUUCGUAUUCCGUUGUCAGAGGUGAAAUUCUUAGAUUUACGGAAGACGAACUACUGCGAAAGCAUUUACCAAGGAUGUUUUCAUUAA